AGAGUGUGUGUCAGACUUGAUUGGCCGCAUAAAUCGAGCAGAGGCAUUUGUUCAAGUCCAGCUGUAUUAUAUUAGAAAUGGAAAUUCUGCAUAUAUUAUAAUCAUGAAACAAAAAUAUUUGAUCUAUAUAGUUAAAUAAUUAAAUCCAAAUCUAGUUGCAAACCUCUCAUAUCAUUUACCUUUUUGUUAAUCAAAAAAUUUCGACCUUUUGCACAGUCGUUUGGUCAGGAACCAGUUACUGAUAAUCCAGUUCCCUGACAAAGUUCCAGGCUUGCUGCUUAGGAGCAGAAUUAAACCUUCCACAAGAGCUAUCUACGCUUAGAUACCUCAAAUUACUUUUAUCCAUUUGAUGUUAGUAUAACUAAGCAUAGAACCUUAAAAUAAUCAAACCAAAUAUAGAUCUUUUACCAAAAAAUAAAUAGAAACAUGAAUGAAUUGUGAAAUAUAUGAAUUGUGUUUGUGUAACGUCCGAGUGUCAAAUCGAGACCAGCUCAAAAGACACGGCUCUCGCGUUAUUAUUCUCUGAGCUGUAACCAAAGAGAAAAGGAGAAAGAAAAAAAGAAUCUCUUGAACUCUCGCCGGCUUCAAUGGAAGACUACUGCAGUCAAAGACCCUACGGAGGGAUGCAGAUCCAGCCUUACAACGGCGGUCCGGGAACCGGAGGCUUCAGGAGCUAUAGCGCUUCUUACGGGACGGCGACGGAGAACAACAUGUAUGAUGUGAAGAAGGGCAAAUCGGUUGGGAGGUCGAAGUCGUGGGGGAUAACGGACCCGGAGCUGAAGAGGAAGAAAAGGGUGGCGAGUUACAAGAUGUAUAGUGUUGAAGGCAAAGUCAAAGGCUCUUUUAGAAAAAGCUUCAGGUGGCUUAAGCAUAGGUACACACAGGUCGUCUAUGGCUGGUGGUGAUUUGCUUUCUUUCUUUUUUCCUUCUUCUGAUCGCUUUGAGUUUUUCUUUUAUUUUGAUUUCCUCAAGUAACUAAUUAUGUUGUGUUCUCUUAGUAUAUCUCUAUGUGUUGCAUUCUUCAAUGUAAGUGUGAUUACCACAAAACUAUAUAUGAUUAUUAGUUUACAUAGUUUAUGGAGUUUCACAAAGCUUUGGAUGAAUCUUUUCCACCCGUGAAAAAAUGGUUCAAACAAGAUUAUUGAAAGGUCUCUUGUGUUGCUGCAAGUUCAUGACAUAUGAACCAUUCUUGUUUUUUUUUUUCAUUUAAAUAAUCUUGUGACUAGACCUUAGUAUGGUUGGGUUUAUGUGUUUAACCUUGUCACAUCCGGUGAGUGACGAAUCAAUCUCUCCCUCGUUUGGUUUUACAAUAAUAAUAACAUCGGAGUGAAUGGAGAACGUAUACAUAUCUUAAUACUGGUCUUGCGGAUGCUCCAAAACAUACAAAGGCCAUGGAAACAUGGUUUUUUUUUUAAGAUGCUUUUGUUUUGAUUUCAAUCUAGAUUCCUUUUGUCAAACACACUCAGCUAGAGUUAUAUAAAUGUUUUUUUUGUUGAAUAAACAUUCAUUUGAAAAAAUUAAAAAUAUU